rnacentral:rRNA from 1 species
UGACUGUACCCGAAUAAGAAGGUCCGGCUAACUUCGUGCCAGCAGCCGCGGUAAUACGAAGGGACCUAGCGUAGUUCGGAAUUACUGGGCUUAAAGAGUUCGUAGGUGGUUGAAAAAGUUAGUGGUGAAAUCCCAGAGCUUAACUCUGGAACUGCCAUUAAAACUUUUCAGCUAGAGUAUGAUAGAGGAAAGCAGAAUUUCUAGUGUAGAGGUGAAAUUCGUAGAUAUUAGAAAGAAUACCAAUUGCGAAGGCAGCUUUCUGGAUCAUUACUGACACUGAGGAACGAAAGCAUGGGUAGCGAAGAGGAUUAGAUACCCUCGUAGUCCAUGCCGUAAACGAUGUGUGUUAGACGUUGGAAAUUUAUUUUCAGUGUCGCAGGGAAACCGAUAAACACACCGCCUGGGGAGUACGACCGCAAGGUUAAAACUCAAAUGAAUUGACGGGGACCCGCACAAGUAGUGGAGCAUGUGGUUUAAUUCGAAGAUACGCGCAGAACCUUACCAACACUUGACAUGUUCGUCGCGACUCUAAGAGAUUAGAGUUUUCGGUUCGGCCGGACGAAACACAGGUGCUGCAUGGCUGUCGUCAGCUCGUGUCGUGAGAUGUUGGGUUAAGUCCCGCAACGAGCGCAACCCUCACUUUUAGUUGCCAUCAUUAAGUUGGGCACUCUGAAAGAACUGCCAGUGAUAAGCUGGAGGAAGGUGGGGAUGACGUCAAGUCCUCAUGGCCCUUACGUGUUGGGCUACACACGUGCUACAAUGGUAUCUACAACAGGAAGCAAGACUGCGAAGUUAAGCAAAUCCCUAAAAGAUACCUCAGUUCGGAUUGCACUCUGCAACUCGAGUGCAUGAAGCUGGAAUUACUAGUAAUCGUGGAUCAGCGUGCCACGGUGAAUGCGUUCCCGGGUCUUGUACACACCGCCCGUCACACCAUGGGAGUUGGUUCUACCUUAAGGCAAGGUUUUAAACCCUUGACCACGGUAUAGUCAGCGACUGGGGUGAAGUCGUAACAAGGUAGCCGUAGGGGAACCUGCGGCUG